UUUUCGGAGAGUUUGAUCCUGGCUCAGAGUGAACGCUGGCGGCGUAGAUUAGGCAUGCAAGUCGAGCGAUGAUUUUUAGAAGGGGACUGUCCCCGGAAGGGGACUGUCCCCGGAAAAAAAUCAUAGCGGCAGACUGGUGAGGAAUACGCGAGUAAUUUACCCUUAAGUCAGGGAUAGCUUCGCGAAAGCGGAGGUAAUACCCGAUGUGUUUACAGAGGCGCAGGUUUCUGUAAGUAAAGGCGCUCCGCAAGGGGUGAUGUUUAAGGAUGAGCUCGCGUCCUAUCAGCUAGUUGGCAGGGUAACGGCCUACCAAGGCUUUUGACGGGUAGCUGGCCUGAGAGGGUGGUCAGCCACACGGGGACUGAGACACUGCCCCGACUCCUACGGGAGGCUGCAGUCGAGGAUAUUUAGCAAUGGGCGAAAGCCUGACUAUGUGACGCCGCGUGAGGGAUGAAGGUCUUCGGAUUGUAAACCUCUUUCGAUGGGGAAGAAAAUUCCGGUUAAUUCCCGGAACUGACGGUACCCAGAGAAGAAGCCAUGGCCAACUCUGUGCCAGCAGCCGCGGUAAUACAGAGAUGGCGAGCGUUACUCGGAUUUAUUGGGUGUAAAGGGCAGGUAGGUGUCCUCGUAAGUCAGUAGUGAAAUCCUAUGGCUUAACCAUAGAACUGCUAUUGAAACUGCAAGGAUUGAGGAUAGAAGAGGAGAGCGGAAUUCCCGGUGUAAGGGUGAAAUCUGUAGAUAUCGGGAGGAACACCAGUGGCGAAGGCGGCCUGCUGGACAGUCCCUGACGCUGAGCGACGAAAGCGUGGGGAGCAAACAGGAUUAGAUACCCUGGUAGUCCACGCUGUAAACGUUGAGGACUAGGUGCCGGCCCGGUUUCGGGUCGGUGCCGAAGGUAACCCAUUAAGUCCUCCACCUGGGGAGUACGUCCGCAAGGAUGAAACUCAAAGGAAUUGACGGGGGCCCGCACAAGCGGUGGAACAUGUGGUUCAAUUCGACGCUACGCGCAGAACCUUACCUAGGCUUGACAUGCUAGAAGUACUGAACCGAAAGGGGAUGGACUCGUCAAGUCGAGAGCUAGCACAGGUGGUGCAUGGCUGUCGUCAGCUCGUGCUGUGAAGUGUUGGGUUAAGUCCCGCAACGAGCGCAACCCACGUGAGUUGUUGCUAACCGAGUCGCAAGAUUCGGAGCACUCGACUCAAACUGCCGGCGAUAAGCCGGAGGAAGGUGUGGAUGACGUCAAGUCAGUACGCUCCUUAUGCCUAGGGCUACACACGUGUUACAAUGGCCAGUACAAAGGGUUGCCAACCCGCGAGGGGGAGCUAAUCUCAAAAAACUGGCCUCAGUUCAGAUCGGAGUCUGCAAUUCGACUCCGUGAAGACGGAAUCGCUAGUAAUGGCGGAUC
rnacentral:rRNA from 1 species